UGAGUAAGCUAGGCGAUCGCACCUGUUUGCGUCGAAAGACCUCAGGUGAGGAAAGUCCGAGCUCCAUAGGGCAGGAUGCCAGAUAACGUCUGGUGGAGGCGACUUCAAGGAAAGUGCAACAGAGAUAAACCGCCAACCUUUGGUUGGUAAGGGUGGAAAGGCGAGGUAAGAGCUCACCGCCUCUCUGGUAACAGAGGGGGCACAUGUAAACCCCAUCCGGAGCAAGACCGCAUAGAAAGCAAUACGGCUGCCCGCCGUGCUUUCGGGUAGGUUGCUAGAGCUUACUGGCGACAGUAGGUAGAGAUAGAUGAUCGUUCACGACAGAACUCGGCUUAUCGGCUUGCUCAUUCA
rnacentral:RNase_P_RNA from 1 species